rnacentral:rRNA from 1 species
UUCCAGACUCCUACGGGAGGCAGCAGUGGGGAAUAUUGCACAAUGGGGGAAACCCUGAUGCAGCGACGCCGCGUGAGUGAAGAAGUAUUUCGGUAUGUAAAGCUCUAUCAGCAGGGAAGAUAAUGACGGUACCUGAGUAAGAAGCCCCGGCUAACUACGUGCCAGCAGCCGUGGUAAUACGUAGGGGGCAAGCGUUAUCCGGAUUUACUGGGUGUAAAGGGAGCGUAGACGGCAUGGCAAGUCUGAAGUGAAAGCCCGGGGCUCAACCGCGGGACUGCUUUGGAAGCUGUUAAGCUGGAGUGCAGGAGAGGUAAGUGGAAUUCCUAGUGUAGCGGUGAAAUGCGUAGAUAUUAGGAGGAACACCAGUGGCGAAGGCGGCUUACUGGACUGUAACUGACGUUGAGGCUCGAAAGCGUGGGGAGCAAACAGGAUUAGAUACCCCCGUACC